GUGGUUGUCUCUUCUGCAACUGAAACAUCUACCAUGCUGACAAGGCAUUAAUAUUAAUGUAAACCAAUGUA
rnacentral:lncRNA from 1 species